rnacentral:rRNA from 1 species
AUUGAACGCUGGCGGCAGGCCUAACACAUGCAAGUCGAACGAGUGGCGGACGGGUGAGUAAUGUCUGGGAAACUGCCUGAUGGAGGGGGAUAACUACUGGAAACGGUAGCUAAUACCGCAUACCAUCGGAUGUUCCCAGAUGGGAUUAGCUAGUGGGUGGGGUAAAGGCUCACCUAGGCGACGAUCCCUAGCUGCUCUGAGAGGAUGACCAGCAAAACUGGAAUGGAGACACGGUCCAGACCCCUACGGGAGGCAGCAUUGGGGAAUAUUGGACAAUGGGCGAAACCCGGAUGCAGCCAUGCGGCGGGGAUGAAGAAGGCCUUCGGGUUGUAAAGUACUUUCAGCGGGGAGGCGUUACCCGCAGAGAAAGCACCGGCUAACUCCGUGCCAGCAGCCGCGGUAAUUC